rnacentral:tRNA from 1 species
GAGGGUAUAGCUCAAGUGGUAGAGCAUAUGCUUAGCAUGCAUGAGGUCCUGGGUUCAAUCCCCAGUGCCUCUA